CACAAACUGGGUUUAAACUGCUGUAAACCCCUGAUUGAGACACAUAUUCCAAAUGCGCUGUAUACAU